rnacentral:rRNA from 1 species
CUAGCGAUUCCGACUUCAUGGAGUCGAGUUGCAGACUCCAAUCCGGACUACGACAUACUUUAUGAGGUCCGCUUGCUCUCGCGAGGUCGCUUCUCUUUGUAUAUGCCAUUGUAGCACGUGUGUAGCCCUACUCGUAAGGGCCAUGAUGACUUGACGUCAUCCCCACCUUCCUCCAGUUUAUCACUGGCAGUCUCCUUUGAGUUCCCGGCCGAACCGCUGGCAACAAAGGAUAAGGGUUGCGCUCGUUGCGGGACUUAACCCAACAUUUCACAACACGAGCUGACGACAGCCAUGCAGCACCUGUCUCAGAGUUCCCGAAGGCACCAAUCCAUCUCUGGAAAGUUCUCUGGAUGUCAAGAGUAGGUAAGGUUCUUCGCGUUGCAUCGAAUUAAACCACAUGCUCCACCGCUUGUGCGGGCCCCCGUCAAUUCAUUUGAGUUUUAACCUUGCGGCCGUACUCCCCAGGCAGGACGAUUUAGCGCGUUAGGCCGGAACCACACCUCAGGGAGCAACCUCCGAUCGACUCUUAGGCGUGACUACCAGGGUACAAGCGGGGGCUCCAGGCGUCGAAGUGAGCGUCAUCACGCCGG